rnacentral:lncRNA from 1 species
CUGGAUUGUACCAGACCCUCACAGAUGUUUUCAGCCUGCCUUCCAUGGGUGACAUUUAAGCGAUUCACCACAGAUCUGCGACAGAGCAAGUCAAAAGGGAGUUAAAAUUACACAGGAUGCUUGUGAAGAAAAUGUGGUCAGCUGUGAACCUCAGACUUGAUCUCUUAAGUGAACUGUGAGUAACAAUGGUC